rnacentral:lncRNA from 1 species
AUGGAUAGUACAGACAGGGCCAUCAAUUUCAGCAAGAAGUCGGGUUUACAAGAGAAAGCAGAUGAUAAAGGAGGAUACAUGCCAGCAUAUUCUGGGAAGGACUUGACAUCUACAGAAAAGUGGCAGCAUUUCCCAUUGGAAAAACACCCAGGAGCUGUCUCCUGGUGCUGGUGGCAUGGUCUCUCCAGUGGCACAAGGAAGUUAAUAAGAAAGAGGAUAAUCACAAACCUCUUAUGUCAAUUCAUUGAGCCAGACCUGAGGGUUAGAUGGUCAAAAGGUAAGGAGACUACUCAGAAUGACAUCAAAUGA